rnacentral:rRNA from 1 species
CAGUAGCCGCGGUAAUACGUAGGUGGCAAGCGUUGUCCGGAAUUAUUGGGCGUAAAGGGCUCGCAGGCGGUUUCUUAAGUCUGAUGUGAAAGCCCCCGGCCCAACCGGGGAGGGUCAUUGGAAACUGGGAAACUUGAGUGCAGAAGAGGAGAGUGGAAUUCCACGUGUAGCGGUGAAAUGCGUAGAGAUGUGGAGGAACACCAGUGGCGAAGGCGACUCUCUGGUCUGUAACUGACGCUGAGGAGCGAAAGCGUGGGGAGCGAGCAGGAUUAGAUACCCGGGUAGUCCCUGUCUCUUAUAA